rnacentral:tRNA from 1 species
ACUUAAGUAGUUUAAUUAAAAUUUUAAUUUGUGGAAUUAAAGAUAUGAUAUUUCAUUUUAAGUA